UUGUCUUUUUCCUUUUUAUCGGUACCAGGGAUCAAACUCAUGACUGCCUGCUUGCAAGGCAGGCGCUUAAGCCGCUGAGCUAAAUCCCCAGCCCCAUAAGACAGCUUUUUAAAAUAUGAAUUUUAAAGUUAGACUUUCCUUAAUUGAAUCUUGCCUAUAUCAUUUACUGUUUGAUACUGGUCAAAUUACAUAAUUUCCUCUGAUUCAGUUUCUUCAUCUGCAAAACACGAAAAUACUAAAAUCGUAACGAACUUUGUGCCUGGCAUAUACUAAGUUUCUUUUAGAUGGAGUGUGUUAUAUUUACCAGUCCUCCCCAGCUAAAGAGUAGGUCUUGACGUUAAUAGUCAUUUAUAUUUAUAUAUAAGAAUUUGGAGUUUCUAAUUAUUUUUAUAGUUUUAUUUGGGAAGAUUAGCCUUUGGAGUCAAACAUACCUGAGUUUGUGUUGUGGAGAAUUUACCUUUCCUAUGUAUUAUUUCAUGUCUAAAAUAGGCGAAAGAAUGCACUGUAGUUUUUUGUCAUGAAAUUGUAUGUGAGAAACUCUCAACUGAGAACUCGUAAAGUACUUAAUUAGUGGUAACUAUUACUGCUAAUAUAAUCAACUACAUUGACCUGUAUGCUAGAUAUUUCUUCUUCAGUUUCCUAGAGUUAUUUAAUUCAAAAGAGCUUAAAAUGUAAUAACUAUUGCCUAGUUAAAAUUUUAAAACAUUAACCAAAAUGGUUCUUAAUAAUUUUAUAUAAUUGAAAUAUAUGAACAAUUUUAUAACCAGAAUCAGAAGUAGAGAAUAGAAUAUUGGUUCCAGGGCUGGGGAAGGAGAAAGUAAGUAUUUCUCAAAGGGCACAAAAUUUCAGCUGGAUAGAAAGAAUAAAUUAAGAAAUCUAUUGUAUUCUUGAAAAUUUCUGAGAGAGUUGAUUGUGUUUUCAUCACAAAAAAGUAUGUGAAGUAAUAGGUACAGUAAUUGACUUAAUUUAGCCAUUCUAUAAUAUAUAUUUCAAAACAAUUUGUUAUAGAAGGUGAAUAUGCAUAAAUUUUGUCUAUUUUUUUAAAAAAAUGUCAAAACUUUAAAAAACAGUAAGAAUUCAAAUAUCUGAUAUGCUAUAUAGUCUCUGGUUGAUCUUGAUACGGAAGGGCUAUUUUAAUUUCUGUAGAAUCUUCAGAACCUAUCUAGGUAUGAACAUAUCUUUAUUUUUAGAAAUACUCUUCCAUUUCACUUUCCUUUUUGCUAUUAGGUUGGACCUUCUGAAACUGUUGAUAUUCAACCGUUUUUGAUAAAAUGGUAAAUUUUUUAUUGUUUGAUGUAAACAGACUAGUCUUUUCGUACCCUUCCUUUGACUUUUUUUCUUUUCUUUUUUUUUUUUUUUUUGAGACACGGUCUUACUAUAUAAACCAGGCUGGCCUUGAACUGUGUAACCCAGCCUGCCCUUGAACUCACAGUAAUCCUGCCUCAGACUCCUAGGUGCUGGGAUUAUAGGCAUGCGCCACCAUAUCUGGCUCCUUGAUGACUUCUUCUUCUUCUUUUUCUUCUUCUUCUUCUUCUUCCUUCUUUCUUCUUCUUCUUUGUCUUUUGAGAUAGGGUCUCGCUAUGCAUUUCAGGCUGGCCUUGAGCUCACUUUGUAGCCCAGGCUGGUCUUAAACUUGCAAUGAUUCUCAUGCCUCAGCCUCUCAAGUGCUGAGAUUACAGGCAUGUGCUACCAGGGCCUGCUGCUCCUUGGCUUCUUGAAAAGCUCAAAUACGCUUUCAUUGUUCAAACCUUUCACAACCCUGUAGAUCAUAGUACACAAGAGUAAUAUCACACAAAAUAACUGAUUUGGUCCCCACCUUCCUCUAACGUAGCCCUUUUGCUUUCUGAUCUGCUAACUUUUGUACAUCAUUUUGCAUACUUAUUGUUAUGUCUUAUUGUAAUAACAUAGACUCACAGGGAAGUCAAUUGUGAUUCUAGUGCCUUAGAGAUUGGGUAUAUUUUCUCUUGUAUUUACACCGGUUUGAAAGAAACAAGCCCAAGGCAAAAAUAAAGUUGGAAAAAUUUUCAAAGUAAGCUUGUUCUUUCAACAUUUUUUUCAAUCAGCGUGUAUUAAGUACCCACAGGCUACUGGCACUGUGUGAGGUGCUAGAGUAUAGAAAGAUGUAAAAUGGAAAAAAAAUCACCUUGGGCUCAGAAAAACUUGAAGAACAAUUUACGUAUGGAACUAUUAAGCUUUCCUUGCAAUUUUCUGGUUUCUAACUCUCUAUCCUUAAGGCAAAUUAUACAGAAAAGCAUUGUAUUGUUGACUAAUUUUACAAAUUACAGUUAAACUUUUUUGAAGUUAUCAGUUGAUAGUUCACAAAAUAAUUUCUAAUGCUAAAAGUCAUAUAGAUCAACUGUCUACAAAUCUGAACUUCUUUUCUUAAACAUGAAAGUGGCCAACAAAAAAGCAUCCCAAAUUCUAUAGUUGCUCAGGUUGUUUUGUCUCACAGAUCUGGGCUUAAACUUGCAAUGAUUGGAGGCCUCAAACCACAUCAAUAGAUUUUAUCCUUGGGGCUAAGCAAGGAGAGGGACCAAUCCUUUCCUUUGGCACUGACUUGUUCUUCCAAGUUGAAGUGAUGUACAUUUCAGAAUUGUCAAGAUCUCAUAUUAUUUAUUAAAGGUGGUUCUUUUUUCACAUACAUAUCAUUUACUUAAUAAUUUGGCAAAUAUUUACUAAAAGCCUGCUUGUGUGUCAGGCCCAAAGCCACAUGAUGAGGCUGUGAUAAUGUACAGAAUAUGUUCCUUGACCUUGAUGGGCUCACAAUGCAGAAUUGUAAGUAAUUAUAAAAUAAAAUAAAUGCUAAAAUGCAGAGAAAAGCAUUUACAAUCUUUAAGACUGGGUGUAGAGCAUCCAAGAAUGUUUACUGAAAAGGCUGUGUUUGAGUUAAUUCUUAAAAAGAUAAGUAGGCAUUUUCAAGGGACAACCGAAUAAAAGACACCACAGGAGAAGAUGAGCAUUAAUUAAUUAAUUAAUUUGUUGAGACAGGGUCUUGCUAUGAAUUGUAGGCUUGUCUUGUAACCCAGAUUGGCCUUGAACUCAAGGGAGUCCUGCCUCAACCUUUCAAGUACUGAGAUUAUAAAUAUGUCCCACUAUACUUAAGAACAAAAAUUUUACAUGCUAGUCUGUUCAGAUGUAUGCAAAUGUACUUGAAGAUAAUGACAAGAUUAUGAAAUAUGUUAAGGUUAUGAAGAGGAGAUUAGACUUUACCAUGAAACUAACUAGAAUUUUUUUUUUUUUUUUUUUUUUUGGUACUGGGAUUGAACUCCUGAAUUCGUGCGUGCCGGGCAGACCCACUCAGCUACAUCCUUGGCCCCAAAACAUCUUCAUUUAGUAGUAUAAUCAUCAAAUAUAUUUUGGAAUAUCAUUCUGCUUUGUGUUAGAUGUCCUCUUGAAAGCCUCAUGCACUCAUGGGUGGGCUUUUGGAAGGUGACUGGAUCAUGGGGUUUUGUACUCAUCAGUGGAUUUGGCUACUGAUGAGUUUAUAGCUAAUGUGAUGUUAGGAGGUGACAUUUGCUUGGAGGAGAUGGGCCACUUGGGCAUGGCUGGAAGGGUCUAUCUCCCUCUCUCCUCCACUGAUCUCUCUCUCUGCUUCCUACUGCUCUACCAUGAGCUGAUUCUUCUCUGUCACACCCUUCUGCUACUAACCCUGCCUUGGAUCUAGCAGGGACUAUAGACUGAAACUUCUAUUAACUAUAAACCAAAAUAAGCCUUUCCUUCUUAGGGUGAUAGGUGUCAGGUAUUUUGUCUCAGUAAUGAGAAAAAUGCUUAAGACAUGUGAGAGUGACUUAAUUGUUAAGGGAAUUACCACAGGGAUAGCAGAUCCAUUUUCUAAACUGCAGGGUAAGAUUUGUGAAGUACAAACCCAGUAUGUGAGAAUUGAGAGAUGGUAGGCUAUAACGACUUCUAGGUUUCUGACUGGACUGAUUAUGAUAGAAUGUUUUUCAUUAAUUUUAAGAAAUGUGCUUUUAAACCAGGUUUAGUGAUGCAUGCCUGUAAUUCCAGCACUUGAAAGACUGAAGCAGGAGGGUCAAGGCAGGAGACCAGUCUGAGGUACAGGACAAGACCAUGUCUCAACAAAAACAAAAACAAAAACAAAAACAAAACAUGCUUUUUUCACAUUUUAGCAUUUCUGAAAUUGAGAUCAGUCUUAUGCAUGAUGGCUUGUUUAUCUGACAGUGUUGGUUUUUUUCUUCUCUGGGAUACAACGAAUAAUAACACAUCAUCUUCAUAUACCAUUACCAAAUCUAAAGGUGAAGAUUCUUUUGAUUUAGUAUAACAUGGGAGAUAAGGUCAGCUAAUUCUCAAGUGGAAGAGUAGCUUUGAACAGGAGGGAGAAGGCCAUCACCUAUGAGAAACAAGUUUUUAAGUGCCUUUUGUGUAGUAAGCUUGCUCCCUUCCACUGAACUAUGCCCCCACUCUGGGCAUGGUGCUUUUAACUACUAAAUACUAAUUUAUUCAUUAAAACAAAAGCCAUAUUCCUAUAUUGCUACUCGAGGUGAUCUCAGCACAUGGAGUAUUGAUUAAUCGGAGCGGGUGAAAUUUUCUAUCUGGAUAUUUGGACAUUCGUAGGUGGAGAUAGGCAGGCUCAGACCUCACCUAGAAAUCUGGACUUGCAAAAGGGCAGACUGUUAAAGGUUUUUGUUGACUCAUGUUCUGUUGAAUUUGGCAUCUUGCACUGUUCGAUGUGAAUUAUUUACAAAAGUUAAUAUAAACGAGGAUCUCCAUAGCCUCAAUCUUGUAGUACUUCAGCAAAAAACACUUUCAUGUAUCCCCUGUGGUGGUCAGGGUGGAGUUUAAACUUGACUGGCUUUAGGAUCUGCGCAGGGAUCAGAGCAGACUCACAGGCUGCCACGAACUAAACAGCUUUGUUCCACCAUGCACCUCCACCAGGACUUUUCUACCUUGGAACCAGUUGACCAUGGACCAAAACUACAAACUGGCCUUCCUGUGGAACCUUCCGACAUCACCAUUUCCCCUCCUCAGGACCAGUGCCUGCACUCUUCUCUGCCUGCAGGGAAUGCAGAAGAACAUGGGCUUAUAUACAUUGAUACUCCAAGACUGAGUUGAAUUCAUGGCUCAUCAUUGUCAUUAUACAACAGUAAAAUCAUUUUGGUUGGGUAUAUGUCUCUCAAGUUUUUUUGUAAGCCAUAAAGGAUGAUUAAAUUUAAGUUUAAUUUUAAAUUCAUUUGAGUGGAAGUAACACUCAAAUGUUUUUAAUUAUUGAAGACUUCUGAUCGCAGAGAAACUAGUAAGACUCAGUAGGCUUCAGAUCAGAGAAAGUCUUUUACAUUGAAAAUUUUAUAUUGCAUCUUCACUUUUUUGAAAUGGUGCCUGAGCUAUAAGUCAGUGUGGUUUAUUUUAGCAACUUUCAUAAUGGUCUGUGUACAAUCUUAGAUCAAAAGAUUUACCUUAGUCUUGUGAUCAAAAAUAUCUCUGGUGUGACAAAAUUGUGAAUGAGCUCCCAAAUUAUUCCAAGCAGGUCUCUCCCACUCCCACUAACUCAUAGGAUUUAGUUACAAACUUGAAGAUUUGUUAGUUCAAAAGUCAGUGGACUGGGCUGGGGAUUUAGCUCAGUGGCGUAAAGUGCCUGCUUGGCAAGCACAAGGUCAUGCGUUUGAUCCCUAGUACAAAACCAAACCAAACCAAACCAGAAGAGAAGGACUUGAUGUUCUUUGAGAGAUACUAAAAACAAAAAACAACAAAGAAAGUCAGUGGACUAACUGCAAUAGAGAAAACUUUCCAUUCUGAUCUCUUUUCUGGACAAAAUUUCUUUAAAAAACCUGAAGUCAGGACUAGGCCCUGAUAGAGCUGAUGACUGACGCCAGCUGAAGACAAGACUCCUUUCACAGUCGCUGGCACAGCCCAAUUCCUCUUGAUGGAGAGAGUGAUGAGUCAUGCCAAUGCACGGACUGUCUUCCGGAAAGCAGCCAAACCAGGUGUGUUAAUGAGCUUUGUGGGUACUCCCCUUGUAUGUUCCAUCUUGACAAAGACACUUUAUCAUCAUUUUGAAAACGGCAAUGGUUUGUGAAGUUUCCAAAGGGAGUUUGGAAAAAUCGGAAUAGUACUUCAUUGGCAUUGCUAUCACUGUAUAACUAAUAAUGCAAAAACUGGUUAAAACGGGAACUAGCGCAGUUUUGUCCAGCUGUUUGCCUGUGGAAAUAAAGAGGCUUUAGGAACCAGUUUAGAGAUGUUUGCAGAUAUUAGAAGAAAGACCAGUAAUUCUAAAAGAGAUGAUGCCUUUUGAAGUUAGCCUGGCUUUAGUUUUCUUCUUUUGCUCCAAGCCACAAACCAUGUCAGAUAUUUCCAGGGUACAUGGCUUCACUAUGUUCUCUCUAAUUAUGUGGGAUUUUUUUUGCUUGUCAAAAAAAAAAAAAAAAAUAGGGAGAUUUUAAAACUGCCCCAUGACAAGCUAGGUCAAGUUUAAUUUUGUUAAACUUGCAGCCUUUUAGAAUCAAAGUAGUCUUAGGAAGGAUUUAGGUAAGCCCAGGUAUUUUCCUUUAAAAAUUACUUUAAUUUCUGAUAGAUUUCAAACACAGAAAAGCACAGAAGAUGAUAUAACAAGUAGUUCAUGUACUUCCACUCAUGUCAAGACUUUAUAACAUUUACUUUAGGUCUUUUUGUAUUUAAACAAAAUGUUACAAGACAGCAAUGAUGCCUCUCCUAUCGUUUUUUUCUUUCAUCUAUCCUGAGAAGUGCUAACAAUCUGAAUCUAAUGUAUUUCUACUUUUAUUACCAAAGUAUAUCUUAACAAUAUUGCAUUACUGUGUACACAUUUUAGAAAUGUAUUUACUUGGUUUUAUAUUUAUUUUUGAAAAAAGGUUUUAUUAUGUAGUUCAAGCUGGACUUGAACUUGCUAUGCCAUUCAGGCUGGGAGGCUGAGGCAGGAGGACUGUAAGUUCACCUAGUUAACCAACAAACUAGUGACUUGGCAAGACACUGUCUCAAAAUAAAAAUUUUAAAAAUUCUGGGAUGUAAGUCCAGUGCAAAGUCCAUAAGUUCAAUCCCAGUAAUGGUGGUGGGGUGGGGUUAAGUCCAAAGUCUUAUGUGAGACUCAAGACAAACUCAGCUGUAAGCUCUUGUAAAAAACAAAAGAGAUUAGGCACUUCCAAGAUAUAAUGGUAGGAAUGCAAUUGGAUAAACAUUUCUAUUCCAAAAAUGAGAACAAAAAAGCCAGAAAGGAAAAAUCAGCCCAAAACAAGAUCACAGCCCAUCAGGGAAGACAUUAAAUCUUUUACAAAUCCAAUACCCUGGGCACUCUGUGACUAAGGGGUGGGCCCACAAACCCUUGAACACCCUGCUCCGUAGUUCUUGCAUUGUGCGUGCCUGAGGAGCACACAGAUAAUGAAAAUUUGCUACUCACACAAGCUGCACCUAACUUCAGGCAGUGCAUUGUGGGGGGGGGGGGGAAACAGGCAAACAAACCUCAAGGCAUCCCUGGGUCUGAUGAUAAUAUUUUGAGAUGAUUGUGGUUGUUGUAAGAAUUGAGUAUAUUUUAAAACGGCUGCAGUGGUUUAUGGCCAGUGGUCUGAUCAUAGGUUCAGAGGAUAGCGGUAUGCAGUGUGGCAUCUAGGGGGGAAUCUCCUUCUGAGGGUUGCAGCCAUUGAUGAUUCGCUAUGGUGUUGUUUCUACUGUUCCCACAUCAUUUCCACUGUUUUGUUGGGUUGGGUUUUAUUUUGUUUGAUUAUGUCAAAUCCAAUGGCAGGAGCAGCUAUUUCAAAGAUAGCAAGAUAUAUUAUGGUAGCAAUUUUGGAUUUGCUAUUGACUUGUUUUGAAGUCCUUUAUUGGAUUCAUUAUUUUGUUUUUAUUGUUUCUAUUCUAUUCUGUUCUGAUUUUACUAUGUCCAAAGUUAUCUGCAGCUAUUUUGAAGACAUUAAAAGGCAUUAUGAUAACUGUUGAUUUUGUAAUGUUUUGAAGUCCUGUGUCUUUUACAUUGGUUUGUUUUGAUUGGUUUUAUUGUUUUAACCUCUUUAAAAUAAAAAAAAUUAGAAAUUAUAAAAAAGUAAAACAUCUGCAGCUAGGAUAAUGGAUUAGUUUUGUGGUAAGGAGAAGAGAUAAAUCAAGGAAGCUUUCUAAGUUUUUGCUUCAGCAACUGGAUGGAUGGUGAGACCAUUUUUCAAGAUGGGAAAAAAUGAGAAAGGAAUGGGGUGAGGCCAAUGCAGAAGUGGAUGAAGAGUUUUGUUUGGCAAAAGGAUAUCAGAUAUUCACAUGGAGAUGUCAAAUGGGCAAAUGGAGCAUGAGAGUCUGGAAUUUAGGGAAGAAAACAUUACUUUGACAUAAAUUUGGCAGUGAUUCUAAAACCAUGGGAUGCCGUGGAAUUGUCUUGGGAGAGAGUGUUGCUUGAGAAAAAAAGAGG